CUCUUAUGAUCUGUCAUUCAACAUAAACACCCACUUUCCUCAAAGCAAAGCACAGCAGUAGGGAGUGACAGCUCGAACGAGCCCCCUGGGCUCGCACAGCUCCCUCCCCUGCCCGUCACCAGGCGCCCGCUGCCGCUGGGGACCACGCUCGGCUUUGGAAACCUCUACCUCGCCGGGAGCCGAUCCGAGCUCUGCUCGCUCGGAGCCGGGGCGGACGGACCUGGAGGAGCCGCCACAGGUUCCUAUUGCCAAGUAGGUGUUCAAUACCUUAUAAAGCUGAAUGGGUUUUAUUUCACAUCUAUUUCCAGAAACACAAGCAUACUCAUUCCACUACUCACACAUAAGGUGGAAAAGCUGGUUUCUGUAGCCAUCUGUGCCUGAGAGGAGAAACCCCACACGUAGGAGAAGAGCGCUCUAACCACCACCCAUUUCUGUGCCAUGGAAGAAUGCUGGAGCCGCGGGACAGGGCAAAGAGGGAGAUACAAUAUAGGCCACAGUAUUCAAAGGACUCUUGCACUUCACACUGUGUUCAACAGGAAAAAAAAUUGUUAUAGGAACAAAAUAUGACUCAUGACUACAGAGCCUUAAGAUGCUCCCCAAGUAUAGACUACCUUUUAAAAAUGCUGAGUAAGGGGUCGUGUGGGAAGUGAAGCUGGGUUGGAAUCCUUUUAGGCUGAAGACAGUCUAAAACCCCAGUUGCCCACAUCUCUUGCGUUUGGUCUUGCUGCAGGACUGCUGCACAAAAGCUCUGCCUGUUUUGAAAGUAUUCUUACAACUCGUUAAGAAACCCAUCAGAGGGAAGGGUUGAAAAAGCAGGGGAUAAAACAGGCUCUGAGAACAUCUACCAUAUGUCUUUUGUGAAUAUAAUGGGAAAUGAUGAAUGGCAAGGAGGUAAAGCAUCCCCUGAGAAUACCUAGCAGAUGUUGUUGAGUUGAGGCAGAAUCCAAAGAAAACACAUAACUCCUUACAAGUAGGCAGUCCUAAGCAGUAGAUCAAUGCUGACCUACAUCAGUUGCUGAAAACAGUUGUUGUGGAUAAGGAAAGCAGCAGAACUCGAGAUCUGGGAAAAAAAAUAGUAAAAUAAGGAAGUGUCUAGUGACCAUAAAUCCCCAUGGGAAGGGGUCUGAUGUGCAGUUUUCAUUUGAUGUGUCAGAAGUCAGCCUAAUGCAUGCAAUCACAUUCAUUAUUGAGUGUGGUUAGUGCUACUGAUUGCAUCUAAUGUUUCUACACUGCAAACAGUAGUAGUGUCUUUUCAAUUUCUUGUCUGCACUCUUGUAAUGUGCCCAUGCUGCUCUUUGAGGUGUCUAUGACUCUUCCCUCACGUGUGUGCAUGUGCCCUUUUUUGCUUAAUUUGCAACUCACCUAGUUCAGAGAAAUUAAACAGUACUAAAAGUCCUUAA